GUGUUUGCUUUGGCAGCACGUAUGCUAAAAUUGGAAUGAUACAAAGAUUAGCAUGGCCCUUGUGCAAAGAUGACACGCAAGUUCAUGAAGCAUUCCAUAUUUUU